CUGAUAGAGGGGAUAGCCCGGGGAAACUCGGAUUAAUACCGCAUACGCCCUAAGGGGGAAAGCAGGGGAUCUUCGGACCUUGCGCUAUCAGAUGGGCGUGCGUCGGAUUAGCUAGUUGGUGAGGUAAAGGCUCACCAAGGCGACGAUCCGUAGCUGGUCUGAGAGGAUGAUCAGCCACACUGGAACUGAGACACGGUCCAGACUCCUACGGGAGGCAGCAGUGGGGAAUAUUGGACAAUGGGGGAAACCCUGAUCCAGCCAUGCCGCGUGUGUGAAGAAGGCCCUAGGGUUGUAAAGCACUUUAAGCAGGGAGGAAAGGGUGAUGGCUAAUAUCCAUCAUCAUUGACGCUACCUGCAGAAUAAGCACCGGCUAACUUCGUGCCAGCAGCCGCGGUAAUA
rnacentral:rRNA from 1 species